GGAAACGAUGGAAGCCUGCUUCCAGGCGUCGAGUGGCGGACGGGUGAGUAAUACUUAGGAAUCUGCCCAGUAGUGGGGGACAACUCGGGGAAACUCGAGCUAAUACCGCAUACGCACUACGGUGGAAAGUGGGGGAUCUUCGGACCUCACGCUAUUGGAUGAGCCUAAGUCGGAUUAGCUUGUUGGUGGGGUAAAGGCCUACCAAGGCAACGAUCCGUAGCUGGUCUGAGAGGACGAUCAGCCACACUGGGACUGAGACACGGCCCAGACUCCUACGGGAGGCAGCAGUGGGGAAUAUUGGACAAUGGGCGCAAGCCUGAUCCAGCAAUGCCACGUGUGUGAAGAAGGCCUGCGGGUUGUAAAGCACUUUCAGUAGAGAAGAAAAGCCUGGGGAUAAUACCCUUGGGUCUUGACGUUACCUACAGAAGAAGCACCGGCUAACUCCGUGCCAGCAGCCGCGGUAAUACGGAGGGUGCGAGCGUUAAUCGGAAUUACUGGGCGUAAAGCGCGCGUAGGUGGUUGUGUAAGUCGGAUGUGAAAGCCCAGGGCUUAACCUUGGAAUUGCAUCCGAUACAGCAUGACUAGAGUAUGGUAGAGGGAAGUGGAAUUUCCGGUGUAGCGGUGAAAUGCGUAGAUAUCGGAAGGAACACCAGUGGCGAA
rnacentral:rRNA from 1 species